AGAAAGAGGGUGUAGAUGGGGCCUGGGUGUUACCAGCUCCUGAAUGGCUUUACGUGACAGGCACUGGGUGGAGUGCCUUGUAUACAUCAUCUUAGUCACAUAAAAUGUCCUUCUGCAGAAUAGGAAAUUCUGACGGGCUCUUCUUAGGAUGAGUUCCGAAAGCUGGGGGCCCAGACCUCAGUAAGGUCAGGAUGAAGUUUCCCUGGUUGUACCAGUUCUAUUGCCACGCUGCGACAGUGGUGGAGUGCUGCUCACAUCACGCCACCCCAACGUCCUCUCCUGCCUCCUCCUUCCACUGAUGAUCACGCUGGACUCAUGAUUCCACUGGGCCCAUCUGGAUGACCGACGAUAAUCUCCCCAUCUGACAGUCUGCUCGUGAGCAGCCUUAAUUCCACCGGCUGCCUCAGCUCCCUUUUGCCACGUCAGGGAGCAUACUCACAGAGAAACAAGUUAAACCAGAAGCAACUUUAAAAAAUCUUCUAAGUCUGGUGGGCGUGUCCAAUGGUUUUGAUGUCAAGAUGAUGACAAAUUCUCUCCAGAGAUGGUAUAAAAUCCAACCAUUGACAAGCAGAAAUUCCUGGAAUCUUCUACCACUCUACAGCACUAGUCUAAAAGAACACAGCUUUUAGAACUAAACUGGGAUCCAUCCAUGGCAACAGGUGCAGAGGAACCCAAGGAGAAUGAAGGUCAGGAGAGAGGGGGACGCAUGAAGCCCGUUACACUUUUCCGUGUCCUUCGGCAUUUGUUCUGUGACCACUGUGGAGCACAGUGCCUCGGGCUCAGCCCUUGCCCCCUCUUCCUUCUGGCUUACUUGCGUGAUCUACGGGGCUGGCCAGUAAACAGCUUUACCAGACUCUCCUGCACCUGAGCUUCUGCACGACCUGUCCGGUGAGCAUCUGCUGUGAGCCCACACUGUGCUGCGCAAGAAGGGGCCCUCAGGGAAGCACUGGAACAGCUCGCAAAGUGCUGCGCUGAAGCUAAGUUAAUCCUCUCCAUAGCCAUGUGAGCUAAGAAUUAUUUUCACUCCUCUCAGACAGAAGAGGAAACUGAGUCACAGGGGGAUUAAAAAACUUACCUGAGAUCACUGAGACAGAAAGAGGCCAAGCCAGGCUGCAGUCUGGCUCCAGGGCACAAGUCUCCAUCGCCACCCUCUACUACCUGCCUGUGGGGUCUGUGGUCCAGGCAGAGUCCAAAGGUUGGUCAGAUGUCUCAUUUCUUUUGCAGAGAAUAAAACCAAACACCAUAAGUAUGCAGUUAUGAAGUGGGCUGUUUUGUGACUCUUUGAUUUUGUUCAUCUUAAUUUGAGGGUUUAUCAAUCAGACCUGAGAGAUUUCAAACCUGAACUCAAACAAGGGACCACAGAGAUCUCUCUCCUAUCGUGUUUUCCACGUGGAGCAUCCCCACUCUCUCCCCCAGCCUUCUACAGCAUCAUCCCUCAGCAGAAUGAUAGUCCACAAGUAGCCUGUGUAGCUCUCAGAAACUGAUUUCUUACAUCCUACAUUUGAAGUCUGGAAUAUUAACCAAAUAGUGCUACCACCAAGGACAUGUUCAGUCUGUCCCUAAAGAGGGCUGGGAGUGUGGCUCACACUCACCAUGUAGUUCUUGCUUUCUUUGUAGGGGAGAUUAGCAGGCAAAAUUGCUUUUCUCUACUCCUCCACAGAGAUAAUUUAUCACUAUUGAAGAGUGGUAUGCUUCUCUACUUGCUUGGUUUGGAAUUGCAGCAGACAUCCAAACUUUUGCAAAAUUCCAUUGCUUUCUGCAUGGAAUGCAACUCAACGCAUCGAUGUCUUCCAUAGAGCAGAGCCAGAGCCAUGUUAGUAAUGGAAUCCUCAGAGCCCGCUGACACCCAGAGCCUUGCUGUUGACGGCCUCAGUUGCUCAAGUGCACGAUUGCACUUUACAGGUCUAAGGUCUUCCCUCAACCCCCGCCCUGCUCCAUCCAGCACAAGAAGAUGCAGUGCUCACUUGAUGGAAUUAAAACAUGCCAAAACCCCACAAAAGAAUGCAGGCUGGGUGUAGCACUCAUCUGCUAAGUAUGAAAUCUUUCCCUGAGUGAGUUCUCCACAAAUCAGGUCAGUCCCGACAGCCGACACUACCUUAGGCAGGGAGGGGCCGACGGCGCCAUUAAAAACUCCUGCCAGCGCUUGCCUCAGACAAUGUAAAUACAAAACUGGUGCUUGUGUUUAUUUAAAGUUAUUGGCAUUGGGCUCAUUCCUGGUAGACAAAGAUUAUAUUGUUUACAACAGCAUCCAGAUGAUGGACAAGACUUUGUAUAAUAUAAAUCGAACUAUGCAGGGGGGGCACCCCUUAGCAUAAACAACUUCCCUCAAGCAAAACAAAUCCUGCCAAGAUUCAAGCUGGAAUCCAUUUAUUACCCGACUUCAAGCUGACUUGUUUCAACAUUCAGCAACUGCAAAAGCAGAAGGAUAAGAACUGAUGUCCGAGGCAUUACCAGCCAGUCCUUUAACUUCUAACGCUUUUUGCAAAAGGUGUUUCUUGCUUUGUCAUGUUGCAAUGUACAUUUCCUGCAAAUGCUGUCAUUCUUGUCACUUCACAGCAUGGUGUGGCGGUGGACCAUGCAUGCAUAUAGAAGGUGAGCAGGAGCAAGGGGACACCCUGAAGAGUGCCACUGUCCUUUCAAAAGCAUUUGGGGGGCUGGCCCCCUGGCCGAGUGGUUAAGUUCGCGCGCGCUCCGCUGCAGGCGGCGUAGUGUUUCGUUGGUUUGAAUCCUGGGCGGGGACAUGACGCUGCUCAUCAAACCACGCUGAGGCAGCGUCCCACAUGCCACAAGUAGAAGGACCCACAACGAAGAAUAUGCAACUAUGUGCUGGGGGGCUUUGGGGAGAAAAAGGAAAAAAUAAAAUCUUUAAAAAAAAAAAAAAAGCAUUUGGCUCGGGUGUAAACCCAGAAUCGGGAAACAUAGUGAGGGUAAGGACACAGAGACAGAUAUUCAGACUUAGGGGUGAACGUACAGAGCUCCAGCGGACGCCAAAGCCUGCCAUGAGCCCUGUGGCUGCUGGGAUUCGGCCUUGCCUGGAAUUGGGGACAGGGCCUUGUUGAGAUUUAUUCACUUGGGAGCCGAAGGGCCUCCUGGGAAAGACUAACCCGAGUGAAGGCAGAAUCUAGCUACAAGACAGCCAGAGACUGUGAGUCGGCGGCAAAGGCCCUCGCAGGAACAAUCGUGCCUGGGAACACUGACCCCGAGAAGAAGGGGGUGUGCACAUGGGAAGGAGGAACAGCGGCGGUGAAGGUCACAGGGGGAGGCACCCAAGGAGUGAAGACACUGGGUGUGUGGUGAGGGAACACACAGGAGGAGGAUCUGGACGCUGCCUCAGCACUGGGGGCAGCGAGUGAGCGUCUAAAGCGAGCGCCUCGCUCCAGCUCCGCGCAGGAGACGGGAUCGAGGGAGGGAGGGCGGCCGGUGCGCUCAGACGCCCGCGUCCCUUCGGAGCCCUCUCCCUUCUCCGUGUGUGUCUCCGUCGGGUUAGGACUGUCUUUCCCUCAGGGCCCGCGGGGUGCUGCACACGGUGGGAUUCCGUGUCGUGGAGGGACUCCCUCGCUCCGUCGGCCCGCUUGCCCCCUGCUCUCCGCGGCUGCGCCAUCUUCCUCGCCCCCUUGGGGCGGCCGGCCUUCUGAGUGCCCGUCUUGGUUAUUUACAG
rnacentral:lncRNA from 1 species